GGCGAACGCUGGCGGCGUGCUUAACACAUGCAAGUCGAACGGAAAGGCCCUGCUUUUGUGGGGUGCUUGAGUGGCGAACGGGUGAGUAACACGUGAGUAACCUGCCCUUGACUUUGGGAUAACUUCAGGAAACUGGGGCUAAUACCGGAUAGGAGCUCCUGCUGCAUGGUGGGGGUUGGAAAGUUUCGGCGGUUGGGGAUGGACUCGCGGCUUAUCAGCUUGUUGGUGGGGUAGUGGCUUACCAAGGCUUUGACGGGUAGCCGGCCUGAGAGGGUGACCGGCCACAUUGGGACUGAGAUACGGCCCAGACUCCUACGGGAGGCAGCAGUGGGGAAUAUUGCACAAUGGGCGGAAGCCUGAUGCAGCAACGCCGCGUGCGGGAUGACGGCCUUCGGGUUGUAAACCGCUUUCGCCUGUGACGAAGCGUGAGUGACGGUAAUGGGUAAAGAAGCACCGGCUAACUACGUG
rnacentral:rRNA from 1 species